rnacentral:rRNA from 1 species
GGGGUUCGAGGAGGGGCCCGCGGCCGAUUAGCUGGCUGGUGGGGUAAUGGCCUACCAGGGCUUCGAUCGGUAGCUGGUCUGAGAGGAUGAUCAGCCAGACUGGGACUGCGAACGGCCCAG